AAUUUUAACAAGAAAAAAGUAAAGCCGGGCGGCUAUACGUUUUUUAAACAAAAAUUCUAGAGUAUAGCCGUGCGGCUAUACUAUUUCUUUUUUAAAAA
rnacentral:miRNA from 1 species